rnacentral:tRNA from 1 species
GCUCUCGUGGUGAAAUGGAUAUCACAACGGUCUUCGGAACCGUCGUUGGGGGUUCGAGUCCCUCCGAGAGCA